UACGGAGGAUCCAAGCGUUAUCCGGAUUCACUGGGUUUAAAGGGUGCGUAGGCGGAUAAGUAAGUCAGUGGUGAAAUCUCCGAGCUUAACUCGGAAACUGCCGUUGAUACUAUUUGUCUUGAAUAUUGUGGAGGUAAGCGGAAUAUGUCAUGUAGCGGUGAAAUGCUUAGAUAUGACAUAGAACACCAAUUGCGAAGGCAGCUUACUACACAAUGAUUGACGCUGAGGCACGAAAGCGUGGGGAUCAAACAGG
rnacentral:rRNA from 1 species